GACGAAGGGUGCAAACGUUGCUCGGAAUCAUUGGGCGUAAAGCGCACGUAGGCGGCCUCGCAAGUCGGAUGUGAAAUACCUAGGCUCAACCAAGGACGUGCAUCCGAAACUGCAAGGCUUGAGUACAGAAGAGGAUCGCGGAAUUCCCGGUGUAGAGGUGAAAUUCGUAGAUAUCGGGAGGAACACCAGUGGCGAAGGCGGCGAUCUGGGCUGAUACUGACGCUGAGGUGCGAAAGCGUGGGGAGCAAACAGG
rnacentral:rRNA from 1 species